rnacentral:rRNA from 1 species
GAUGAACGCUGGCGGCGUGCCUAAUACAUGCAAGUCGAGCGAACGGACGAGAAGCUUGCUUCUCUGAUGUUAGCGGCGGACGGGUGAGUAACACGUGGAUAACCUACCUAUAAGACUGGGAUAACUUCGGGAAACCGGAGCUAAUACCGGAUAAUAUUUUGAACCGCAUGGUUCAAAAGUGAAAGACGGUCUUGCUGUCACUUAUAGAUGGAUCCGCGCUGCAUUAGCUAGUUGGUAAGGUAACGGCUUACCAAGGCAACGAUGCAUAGCCGACCUGAGAGGGUGAUCGGCCACCCUGGAACUGAGACACGGUCCAGACUCCUACGGGAGGCAGCAGUAGGGAAUCUUCCGCAAUGGGCGAGAGCCUGACGGAGCAACGCCGCGUGAGUGAUGAAGGUCUUCGGAUCGUAAAACUCUGUUAUUAGGGAAGAACAUAUGUGUAAGUAACUGUGCACAUCUUGACGGUACCUAAUCAGAAAGCCACGGCUAACUACGUG